UCGUUUCAAAAUUUAAGAUUUAGUGUUGUAAUUUGAAACCUUUUGUAUGAAGUAUGCACCGAUAAAUUCAGUGGGCGUAUAGAGAGUUCGUUUUCUAUGUAUGAAUAUAUUCCGUCGGACAAUAUAGAGUCAGUUCCACUACUGAAAAUCUAGAGAAAUACAUGAUUAAGUACGUCAGUCGUAGUUUGAACUCAGUGAUCUAUACUUCAAAUUCCGCAGGACUGUUCAAAGCACCGAGCUGUUGUCACAUCUCAUAUACGCCAACAAUAAAAAUUGGUUCAUCGUCAAUUCCAUGUACACUUUCUGAAAUGGGUCGUUGGCUAUUGCUUAACAAGCUAAGCAGAUCCGGUGGAGAAUAUUACCGAUUCGUGAAUUGAAAAUUGAAUGCAACUAUACGACGGCAACGUUGGGAAGCUCGUUCCGCGAUCGCUGCUCCGGCCUAAUAUUACAGAUAAGGUCGUGGUUUUAAUACAGACGUCAACGACCCGAAAACGAAUAAUAUAAUAUUAUACGAACACCGGAGGUAACUGUGUAUAGUGAGCGAUGGCUGAUGUCCACCGAUCGAUACGACGCGACGGAUACGACGAACAAUGUAUUGAAAAAUUGAGAAAAUAUAAUGAAUAAUAUGAGUAGAAGCCGACUAUAAAAAAGAACUAGAAAUCCAUUUUUCGUCAGACAACCGUUCCAAAGGUAAACGUGACUAGUAACUGUGCAAUCACAACCUAGAGCAAGCUGGAUGUGAUGGUAUAUUUUCACGAGCGGAAAGUUAUGAUUGAAAAGUUACAUGCAGAUGCUAGAGUUCAGCAAUAUUGAAAUCGACAAAAAUAAUAUGCAGAAAAUUGUUUCACUUGACAAUCCAUUCAGUAAAAACACAUUCAAAAAUCUUUAAACGACCGUCUGUAAAAAUUUACAUUUUAUUUUGCUCUACAAGAAGGCGAUGUACUAAAUUCAAAAAUGCAUACGACAAUUUAUACACGGCUACACACCUCUGCAGAAGACAAACCCAAUCAAUAGGCGUACCAAUAAAACAAUAGAAUUUAUUUACUACACGACGUAUACAAUGUUUUCCACACACGAAAUAAGAGGAGAAUGUUUUGAUUCAAUUAGAUGUUUUCAAUUAUCGGAGUAAAGUUUAUUAUUGGCUGAUUUGUAUUUUUAGUACCAAUUCGAACUGCCUUCGUAAAUUAAUUAUUAUAGCUGGUAUGUGAAAUAAUCGAUCUUCGAGUGAAACAUUAUUCUAAUUCAAAGCGUACAGGAUCAUUUUUAUUUUUUUUUUUUGAACGGUACAAAAAAUAAUAGUCGUUACAAUCGUUUGUUUUUUGCAUAUUUACAAAGUCACAACACUUAGUAUUUCGAUCAAGACGUACUAUAGUUCUUUGUCUUUGGACAGUUAUCGAUAUUUUAUGAUAUCGAACUGAUAAUUUAAAUUUUAAAUUAUGACCACUCUGUAUCGUUGCAUCUAGAUGUCGGUUAUAUUAUUGUUGCGCGUUCCCAAACGGCCGUCGUCGUCGUCGUAUAAUAUUAUUGUUCGGGUCGUAUUCAAGCAAGCCGGUUUGUUUCGUGAACACCAUUGCGGCUGAUUGACGAGACGAUGGUAUAGCCCAUAGCUACAUAAAAUAUGAUAUAGGCAACGAAACAGAAAUCUCUCUUCUUCGUUUUUUUUUUCGUCUCUCUUCGUCCGGCCGUACAAACUCUCUGUAUAUAAUAUGUAUAUAAUGUAUGACGUGUAUACAACAACGCCGAUAUCUCGCGCAUACAUCUGCCCGCCGCUUUUGUAGAUACCUGUUAUUAUUUAUCUAUAUAAUAUAUGUAUAAGCGAACAUUAUAGCAACAAUAAUAAAAUAUGAUAUCAUUCGAGCAAUACCAAACGACGAGAAUAUUAUUUUAUGGCUAAUGAUUUGGGUGCGCGCUUAGUGAAUCCGUCGAACCAACGCAGCCAGGUAUUAAGGACUGCUACGCGUUAAAAACAGCUGCACCAAGGAGGAAUACUGGCCGCUACGACGACGACGACCUCUGAGCAAAGAUGACAUUUUUAUUUUUAUUUUUUUUCCCCCAUUUAUUUUAUUUUUCAACCGAAAGAAUGGGUUUAUCGAGCUGUGUGUCGAGUUUCAUGGUUGAGGGGGGGGGGGGGUGGUCAAAAAGUGCGUACGAACCAUCAUAAGUUACUGAAGAAUUUUACGUACAGUAUACGUAUACCAUACGGAUUCGGAUUAUAUUUUACCAUAAACAUAUAUUAUUUUUUUGACCCGACUCCUGAUAACAAUAAUAAUAACAAUAACAAUGACGGUACACGAUAAUAAUACGCAUAGUCCGGUCGACCGAGUUUUACGAUUUGACUGCCACGGUCUUUGGGGGUACAGAUUUUAUAAUAAUUUAGUUUGCCUAUUGUAAGAGAUGCAAAACCGUUUCAGUGAUUCGAUUAAUCCACACGAUUCCUCGAACGUCUUUUAGUACGAUAUCAAUAUUCACUCGACGAAAAAUCGUUUGGCGAACAGCGACAAGACCUAUUUACAAAUACGCUCUUUGAAAAAAAUAUCACCGGUUAUCGCGUAUUGAAUCUAAGUAUUGGAUGGGAUAUGAAACGAAUUUCACCGCCGAACAAAAUUUAAUUUAAUUUUAUUAUUAUAUUAUUAUCACCUGGGAGG